rnacentral:rRNA from 1 species
UCGAUGAUAGGGGUUCUGAGAGGAAGGUCCCCCACAUUGGAACUGAGACACGGUCCAAACUCCUACGGGAGGCAGCAG